rnacentral:rRNA from 1 species
CAGUCGAGCGGACAGAUGGGAGCUUGCUCCCUGAUGUUAGCGGCGGACGGGCGAGUAACACGUGGGUAACCUGCCUGUAAGACUGGGAUAACUCCGGGAAACCGGGGCUAAUACCGGAUGCUUGAUUGAACCGCAUGGUUCAAUUAUAAAAGGUGGCUUUUAGCUACCACUUACAGAUGGACCCGCGGCGCAUUAGCUAGUUGGUGAGGUAACGGCUCACCAAGGCAACGAUGCGUAGCCGACCUGAGAGGGUGAUCGGCCACACUGGGACUGAGACACGGCCCAGACUCCUACGGGAGGCAGCAGUAGGGAAUCUUCCGCAAUGGACGAAAGUCUGACGGAGCAACGCCGCGUGAGUGAUGAAGGUUUUCGGAUCGUAAAACUCUGUUGUUAGGGAAGAACAAGUACCGUUCGAAUAGGGCGGUACCUUGACGGUACCUAACCAGAAAGCCACGGCUAACUACGUGCCAGCAGCCGCGGUAAUACGUAGGUGGCAAGCGUUGUCCGGAAUUAUUGGGCGUAAAGCGCGCGCAGGCGGUUUCUUAAGUCUGAUGUGAAAGCCCCCGGCUCAACCGGGGAGGGUCAUUGGAAACUGGGGAACUUGAGUGCAGAAGAGGAGAGUGGAAUUCCACGUGUAGCGGUGAAAUGCGUAGAGAUGUGGAGGAACACCAGUGGCGAA